AUGAACGCUGGCGGCGUGCUUAACACCUGCAAGUCGAACGAAGCACCUUGAUUUGAUUCUUCGGAUGAAGAUCUUGGUGACUGAGUGGCGGACGGGUGAGUAACGCGUGGGUAACCUGCCUCAUACAGGGGGAUAACAGUUAGAAAUGACUGCUAAUACCGCAUAAGACCACAGCACCGCAUGGUGCAGGGGUAAAAACUCCGGUGGUAUGAGAUGGACCCGCGUCUGAUUAGGUAGUUGGUGGGGUAACGGCCUACCAAGCCGACGAUCAGUAGCCGACCUGAGAGGGUGACCGGCCACAUUGGGACUGAGACACGGCCCAAACUCCUACGGGAGGCAGCAGUGGGGAAUAUUGUACAAUGGGGGAAACCCUGAUGCAGCGACGCCGCGUGAGCGAUGAAGUAUUUCGGUAUGUAAAGCUCUAUCAGCAGGGAAGAAAAUGACGGUACCUGACUAAGAAGCACCGGCUAAAUACGUG
rnacentral:rRNA from 1 species